UUUUUUCAUUUUCUGUUUUUUUCUCUUUCCAAAAGUUCUCUGCUCCUUUCUUUAGGAUUUUUAGAACACCAAGAACAAUAACCAAGGUUUUCCAGAUUUUAGCUAAACCCUGCCGUGUCGCCGCCGCAGGUUGCCGUCGGUUUUCCUCCGUUGACCCCAAAUUUCACCACGAGCCCCUCUUUCGAUUUUCUUGUUUUCGAUCUAGGGUCAGAUUCUAAAAAAUUGUCCCCUAAUGUCUCAAAUCUGAAACCAAAAUUGUGAAUUUCCACCGCCGUUUCAGCUUUUCCCUACUGCGAUAUUUCUAAAUUUUCAGUAUGUUGUUAUCCUCACCAUUCUCUUCCUCUUCACUGUUCGGAUUUCUCAAAAGUCAUGCUGGGUGCUGUCGACUACCACCAUUGCCAGCCGCUGAUAUUUUCAAAAUCAACUCUUUUCUACUCAUGUUAACCGAAGAUACCCAAACACCAAAAAAUUUCCAAACAACGUUCAAAAGUCAAAUCCCUAAAAAUUUCGUCACAUUUCUGUAUGUAUCUCUACUAUUGGAAUUUACUUCAUUGAAUGAGUGUUGCUGAUGAUUAUUGUGGGUUAUUGUUUUUGGUACUCUGUCGCUUGUUGAUUAUUUCUCCUGGAUCAAUUAUGGUUGUUUCUCUGUUUGUAUAUUGCUGCCCAAUAAUUUCACUCUGUGUACUGGUGUGUGUUUGUGGCUUGCGGUGAUGAAAGGUUUAAGCUCGUGUGUAUUUGGUGAUAGAUAGUAGGUGUUGGUAAUGAGGAAGUUAGAAAUAGUAGAUCAAAAGUGGCAGUGAUGGACUAGGGAUUGUUGUGCUCAAUGGUGGUGAUGGGUGGUCAUGACAACUCUAAAGAAAAAGGCUGAUCCUGUGUUUGUGGGACUAUUGGUGAACAAUGGUAGUCUCGGAUCAAUUAGGUGGCAUAAGGCUUUAGUUGUUUUGCUGUAGGGUUGAGAUAGGGUGAGGGUGAGAAUUUGAGUGAAGAUGGAGUUAAGCUGCUGGCCACGAUGGUUCAAGUGGUGGUGGCCUUUUGUGUGCAGAUGGUGGAGCUAGCUCAAGGAUGGGAAGGUUAUGAGAAAAAGGGCUAAAAUAGGCUAGGCUAUUAAUGUUGAAUUGUGUUUGAUUACUACUGAAGAAUCAAACUAGACCCCUUCCUCUCUGUCAUUGUUGAUGUUAUUUUCAUAAGCCUUACACCCCGAUUAUAAUAAGAGACAAAGUUAAAAUGGGAUUGAAAUUCAAAAUGUUUGCACUUAUCUUUGAAAAUCAACUUUAGAACUCUAUCUUCAAAAGAAUACCACUUUAAUUCAACAACUCAAUGAAUUGUCUUGCCUAUCUAAAAUUUUUCCAAAAUUAUUACAAAGUUAAAAAUGUAAAAAGAAAAGAAAGAAAAUGGAGCUUAUUAACUUAAAGCCUAGUCUAAUGUAAUAGUUAAGGCCCAAACCCACUUUGAUUAUCUAAAGCCCAAUUCAAGCAUUAAAACCUAGACCAUUAUGAAUCAAUAUAUCGAAAUUAACUCAAGACUCUGAAAUAUUUCAAAUAAUUUCAGAUAAAAUAAAAUAUCUAUAAUUAUCUCUUUUUG
rnacentral:lncRNA from 1 species